rnacentral:lncRNA from 1 species
AUAUGCUACACUGUAUUUCCAGCGAUCUGUACAGCUGCCUUUAUUGUUUUUGCAGGGCGUCCAAGUAACCUCUCAGCUGAUUGGUGCAGCGAGCAGCUACAACUUCCUGUGCUCUGUUCUGUCCGGGAGCGACACAGAGCACAACACCGCCUUCCUCCGACAGCCAGUUUGAUUGAUGCUGCAGAAAGUCAAGAACAAUCAGAUCCUCUCCCAGCAUCUACGAUCCAGACGCACAAGGGAGAAACCUUGACGAGGCGCAUGAGAGGAAAACCAGCACAUUUGGACACUCACCCACUUGCUCCCCUCCACUUGGCGACCAGAAUAGAAGCAGCAAAGCGACAUUGACGAGCCCACUGGGCCUGCAGGCUGACGUUAGCCCACCCUGGGAUGAGGCUGGUGAAGGACCACCCCAGCAGGCUGCUAAGCCCAGGGUGCAUCAGCCAAUUUAUGACACCCACCAUGGGGGAUUGCACUGUAAACACUUUAGAAAUCAAGUGUCGUCAUAGACCUGCUCCUUUGCUUCCUGCUUCUAUUCAAGUGUUUAUUUUUUGACUGUUUAUUAUACCAACAGAUUUAUUUGUCACUAUUAUUAGCAUGAUUGAUAUCCUGAAACAGUCACACUCCUUGUCUUGCAUACAUAUUAUUCCUGUGCCUUUUAUUUGGUCACUUGAAGCUUGAUAUAUAUCGAGAACGUGCAUCAUUUUUCUAAUUUUUCUGCAUUUGCGCAUUGCACAAAAAAACACGUCUCUGAAUUGUGUCUCCACCUUUAGCUCCCAGAAAACUGUGACAUUUUAUGAAUUAUUAUAAAUUAAAAACAAUCCCAUAAAGACAAUGUAUAUUUUAUCCACUGUAUGACAUGAUUGAUAUCUCAGAACGCUCAUUAUCACACACUGAUCAUGUUUAUGAUUGUUAUAUAUUGCAUUAUAGUCUAUAGAGGAUAAUUUACUCACACUGAAUUUACAUUUUAACAUUGCAUACAGUGCAACCUUUUAAACAAAUGUUAUAUCUUAAAAUGCACACUGGUCAACUGUAAAUAAGCUUAAUGUGAUGACAUGUAUACUUAAUCAAAUCAAAUCAAGUUUAUUCAUAAAGCACAUAUAAAAA